UACGUAGGGUGCAAGCGUUGUCCGGAAUUAUUGGGCGUAAAGGGCUCGUAGGCGGUUUGUCGCGUCGGGAGUGAAAUCCACUGGCUUAACUGGUGGCUUGCUUUCGAUACGGGCAGACUGGGGGUAUGCAGGGGAGAACGGAAUUCCUGGUGUAGCGGUGAAAUGCGCAGAUAUCAGGAGGAACACCGGUGGCGAAGGCGGUUCUCUGGGCAUGUCCUGACGCUGAGGAGCGAAAGUGUGGGGAGCGAACAGG
rnacentral:rRNA from 1 species